ACGAAAGUCUGACGGAGCAACGCCGCGUGAACGAAGAAGGUCUUCGGAUUGUAAAGUUCUGUGAUUCGGGACGAAAGGGUUUGUGGUGAAUAAUCAUAGACAUUGACGGUACCGAAAAAGCAAGCCACGGCUAACUACGUGCCAGCAGCCGCGGUAAUACGUAGGUGGCAAGCGUUGUCCGGAAUUAUUGGGCGUGAAGCGCGCGCAGGCGGUUUCUUAAGUCCAUCUUAAAAGCGUGGGGCUCAACCCCAUGAGGGGAUGGAAACUGGGAAGCUGGAGUAUCGGAGAGGAAAGUGGAAUUCCUAGUGUAGCGGUGAAAUGCGUAGAGAUUAGGAAGAACACCGGUGGCGAAGGCGACUUUCUAGACGAAAACUGGACGCUGAGGCGCGAAAGCGUGGGGAGCAAACAGGAUUAGAUACCCUGGUAGUCCACGCCGUAAACGAUGGAUACUAGGUGUAGGAGGUAUCGACCCCUCCUGUGCCGGAGUUAACGCAAUAAGUAUCCGCCAGGGAAGUACGAUCGCAAGAUUAAACUCAAAGGAAUUGACGGGGGCCCGCACAAGCGGUGGAGUAUGUGGUUUAUUCGAAC
rnacentral:rRNA from 1 species